AAUAAUAUUGCGGAUCAGAUUGCUCUGAGCGCUUGUGUUGGUUACCAAGAAAAUGCAGCCCUGUUGGUUUUUAUUUCUGUAUCGCAUCGCGACUAUUAAUUACAAGCACAGCAUCAUCAACGGUGAUUGCAAGGAGAACUACUGCAAGCCCUGCGAUUUUUCCGCUUGGUAAAUAUGUUCUGGUCGUGACCGAGAGUGGUCUCCCAAAUCAGCCGGGAAUAAGGCAAUUGUUGCAGAACAAAAUGCCGCAGCCACUGCUGUGGUAAAUAUGUACCAGCAGUACUGCCUACCGCCGUCGGUGCAAUGAUUUGGAUAGCUGAACAAACGCCAUCUCCUGGGCAUUCCAUGGCCAUGUCAUUGGCAAAAACACUAAGGGCUGGUGGCACAUAGAGUGGCGCUGUCCAUCGAUAACCCAACUAAGAUUCCGUUGCCAUCCAUAAUCGAUUGACGAUGGAUUCCGUGAUAGCCACCAAUUCUCCUUUGACAAGAUGGUAGAGAAUCGCGGCAACCCAGCCGUAUACCUACUCCAUGCUUUUACGCACAUAUGCUAAAUUGAUCGCACCUAGCUAAAGUGCCUUCUUCAACAUUAUAACCUAAAGUAAAAACGUUUAAGGCAUGCAAUAAAAGAAUACAACAGAACCAAAAAUAUUCUCAAAACUAUUAUACAUAAA